AGAAAACAUUUGAGAGAGAAUCAAGAAACGUACGGAAACAAGUAUCAAGAUAGGAUUCCUGAAUGAAAGGACCGAGACAGAUGGGACAUGGAUUCGAGUCCCCUGAAGGAGAAGAAGAAGAUUGAUUCUCGACGGUUUUAGAAAAGUGAAUAUGAAUGGCGCUUUUUUGUCAGUAUGGAGCUGCUACUUAUUGGCUAGGUAGAGUGGCGGUUCGGCUUUACUUUCAAUUUAGAUUUAUUUUAUUUUUUUACAUUUUUGCUUGAACUUUGUUUUCUAUAUAACUCAAGUGAAUUCUCUAUUAAACAAAAAAAAAGAGUAUGCAACUCUCAUUAUUAUUGUUCCCUACUAGAGGUUACUAGUUUGGACUAUAGGCGGAUAAAGACGACAACAAUGCCACAAGAGUGCGAAUAGAUAGAGAGAUCAUUGAUACAAAAGAAGAAAAAAAAUGCACUCUUUCACUGUUUGACUGCUUAGAUGUCCUGAAUCAGCUUACAAGUUAAACUAUAAUUGGAAAUUGUAUGACAAAGGAUCAAGGCAAGUAAAACAUGGACUGCCUAUUAAUCGUCAUCAAUCACAUAGCAUCGACCUUGUAACAUCUGUUGCUCUUGAGCCAAGAAAGUUUGCUUCUUUCAUCUCUCAAAAUCUGAUGUCUUGCAACCCAAAUCUUGGUGCCUGUAAAACUGAGAAGUCUAUAUUGUUAACAAUUCUAUUGCCGGACCAGUUUAAGCCUAUCUCUUGAUCAUAACUAAGGCCUCUCUUCUUGACAAUGUGUCUAAAAGGUUGAAGAGAAUAAGCAAAAUUUUCUGCUAUCAUCUCCUUUGAUUCAUAUGAAGACUUGGGUGCAGUUAUAAUACCAGAAGUUGCAGAUUUUUGCUGUUUCUGGCCUAUAUCAGGCUGCCAAGUUUCCAAAGCUUUAUGACUAGCUGCAGAUAUAUUCUGCAAAAUGAUAUCCUCAAAUUCCCUUGAAGGAGAAAUCUUUAAGCUGUCCCAUCGCAUACUGUCUGGUGUGAGCUUUACCCUGUAUGGCCAAGGGCUUUUAGUAUCACCUCCACUGCUGCAUAUUUCCUUUCCCUUGUUGCAGUUGCUGUCUUCUGAAUUUUGAUCAUUAAGUUCGAUCUUCAUGUUAGAGAUGAGUUUGAAGUGAAACAAUUUACGGAGAGCUAUGAAAGGAAAAGAAAAGAAAAACCUAAUCUUUGAUUUAUAUUCCCUUUUGCCAUUUGCUUGCACAAAGUGCUUUACAUCCAGUAUAUCUUUUUUUCUUUUUUUUUCUUUUCAGGUUGAUCUUAUCUAUCAUAUUCUUUCUUGUCUUUCUGUUGUUACCAUAUGAGCUGAUUUCCAUUGCCAAAUCAUAAAUCAAGACAGCUAUAGAAUUUGUUUUAGUAAGAUGAAGCAGCAGAUCAUAAUGAGUUGUUACUUGGAUAGAAAACAAAUCCACCGAGCUCCAUGACAGAAGGUCUUGAAGAAGAAAAUCUGAAUCAGCAUCUACUCAUUAUCUUUUUAGACUUAUCAAGAUGAAGUGCCAGGAAAUUCUUAGCUAAAACUUCUUCUUAUGUACAUUGUAAUUGGAGAAGUUAGGUUUUCUGGCAUAUUUAACAACAUGCAUUGAUGUUAAAUGGAAGCAUGAGAUUAAUUUCUUUUAGGCCAAUGAAUAAUGAGUUAAUUUACUUCUAACUUCACUUUGAACUGAUUAUGUGAUGCAUUUUUGCGUUUAGUAUGGGAAAAGAAUUUUGGCAGAAAGUUUUCCUGAUAUACAGAACUUGCUUCUCUGUAAUACUAUUCCUUUUGUUUUCCCCAGAAAGAAUUGUUCUGGUCUCUGUCAGUUUGUGUGCCCUCAACACAUGUAUCUUGCUUAAUGUGUCCCUUUUAGACAGCUAAACAUUGUGAUUUUGAAGUGUUAUCUUUUUGUUUGAUUUCAAAAAGAACCUGAUUUUUCUAGUCAUCCUUCCUUUGAUCAUAUUUUCGAUAUUAUUCCUGCAAAUUAAAAUUUUUUGCAAGUAUUUAGCUUUAAUUAAGUAGAACUAGGAAACU